CAAAAAUUAGCCGAGCAUGGUGGUGCAGGCCUGUAAUCCCAGCUACUCAGGAGGCUGAGGCAGGAGAAUCGCUUGAACCCAGGAGGCGGAGGUUUCAGUGAGCAGAGAUUGUGGCACUGUACUCCAGCCUGGGCAACAAGAGUGAAACUCUGUCUCAAUAAUAGUAAUAAUAAUAACAGUUCUCACUCUUGAGCAGGAACUAGAUGUCAGGAGACCAGGACCCUAACCCGGGCCUGCCUAGGCCUGCAGUGAAAAGGGGAAUGACGUUUCCCCUGAAUCAGGGAUUUCUCUGAAUCAAUAAUAAUGAUGACAGUCACCAUUUCUCAAUAUUAAGUUUUUAGUGUCUGCCAAGCACUUCACAUACAUUAGCUCAUACAUUGCUUAUAACUGAGGCUGAUGUAAUCCCCAUCCUACAAAUGAAGGCAAUGACCAGAGAGGUCAAGUGCUGAUCCAAGGUCACACAGCUUGUGGUAGAUCCUGGAAGUGAAGUGUCUAACACCAAAGCCUGCUUUUUUUUUUUUUUUUUUUUUGAGACAGGGUCUUACUGUCACCCAGGCUGGGGCACCGUAGCGCAAUCACAGCUCACCGCAGCCUUGACCUCCCAGGCUUAAGCUAUCCUCCUGCCUCAGCCUCCUGAGUAGUAGGAACCGCAGGUGUGAGCCACCACACCCGGCUCUUUUUUCUACUUUUUAUUUUGUAGAGACAGGUCUCACUAUGUUGCCCAGGCUGGUCUUGAGUUCCUGGCCUCAAGCAAUCCUCCCACCUCAGCCUCCCAAAGUGCUGGGAGAUUACAGGCAUGAGUCACUGCACCUGGCCGAAAGCCUGCAUUCUUGACCAUGGGACAGCUUUGCCUUCUACACAUGAACUCCAGUGCCGGCGGUAAAACACUGUGCCCAUGAGAGGGGAUGGGGUGGCCAGAGAGUCACCUGCUCCAGUCACUGGGCCUUUAGUGGACCAAAGAGCCCCAAUUCCUCUGGUUCCCUAUUAUGCUCAUGACACGCUAUCUACCAGCUCAGCACAAACAUAUACACACCUGGUGUUGAGCACACUGAGAGUUAUGGAUGGAAUGAACAAGAACUGGGGAAAGGGAAGGGAGUGUGUGUAAAGCCCUCUCCUUUUUUUUUUUUUUGAGAUGGAGUUUUGCUCUUGUUGCCCAGGCUGGAGUGCAGUGGCAUGAUCUCGGCUCACCAAAACCUCUGCCUCCCAGAUUCAAGUGAUUCUCCUGACUCAGCCUCCCAAGUAGCUGGGAUUAUAGGCAUGUGCCACCACGCCCAGCUAAUUUUGUAUUUUCAGUAGAGAUGGGGUUUCUCCAUGUUCGUCAGGCUGGUCUCCAACUCCCAACCUCAGGUGAUCCGCCUGCCUCGGCCUCCCAAAGUGCUGGGAUUACAGGCAUGAGCCACUGCGCCCGGCCAUAGAGCCCUCUUUCUAGUUGGCCAAACAGCUCCUAGGCUCCCACAGGGACACUACUGCAGGCUGGGAGGCUGGGCAGGCAGAAUGCUAAGCACUUCCAAGGGGAGGCAGGGAAGGAGAGAAGCCUGGUGAAGUGGCCAGAGCUUGACCUAACCCAGACAGAGUAUGCUCAAGACUGGCCCGUGGGUGCCAGGCUGGGCCAGCACAGGCAGGCAUGGGGUGGCUGAUGCUGGGAUCCCCAGUACAUGGUCAUUUACCCCUUCUCCACACUGAGCACUGCAGUUUACAAAGAGCUGUCGCAUAAAGAGAUUGCAUUUUGCAACUACAAAAAUAGCAAAGAUUGUAGUGAAAACAGACACUCUCAUCCACUGAUGGAGGUUAUGGCCUUUUGUAGGGAAAUAAAGUGAUGUUUAUCAGAAGCUAUAAAAUGCUCAUACUCUCUGACCCUGUAAAAAUAUGUCUAGGAGUUUGUCCUAAGGAAAUAAUCUGAGAUGAACGAAAACAUUUUUGUAGAAGGCUGUUCUUCAUGGCCCAUUUUAUGAUAGGGAAAAAAAAAAUCUAGUGGCAAGCUAACUGCAACAGCAGGGAAUUGGUUAAAUCAACCACGUGACAACCAUAAAUAGAAUAGCUCACAGGACAUUUCUGCAGACAGAAUGAAUCUGUGAAGUCAGAUGUCAGAACAGUGUUUAUGCCCUUUGUAGGGUGUGAGUGACAUAGAUGUGUUCAGUUUUUGAAAAUUCACACAGUACGCUUAUAUUUUAUUCACUUUUCUGUCAGCAUAUUUGAUGUCAAUAAAAUGUUUUUUAGAAGAUAUCUUUGAAGAAUAUUUAAUGCUCAGAAAAAAAUGUUAUGUAAGAUACAAAACCAGGCUGGGUGUGGUGCCUCACGCCUGUAAUCCCAGCAAUUUGGGAGGCAGAGACGGGCAGAUCACCAGAGGUCAGGAGUUCAAGACCAGCCUGGCCAACAUGAUGAAACCCUCUCUCUACUAAAAAUACAAAAAUUAGCUGAGUGUGGUGGUGCACGCCUGUAAUCCCAGCUACUCGGGAGGCUGAGGCAGGGGAAUCGCUUGAACUCAGGAGGUGGAGGUUGCAGUGAGCCAACAUCGUGCCACUGCACUCCAGCCUGGGUGACAGAGCGAGGCUCGGUCUCAAAAAAAAAAAAAAAAAAAGAUACCAAACUGACUAUAGAGUUCCAUAUACAUUACAGAAAAAAUAGGAAAUGACUACACAAAAAUAUUAACAGUAACUUUCUCUCUAGGUGGUGGGUGUGUGGGAGACCUUUUUUUUUUCACAGUUGUCUAUAUAUUUUUUUAUUUAUGGCUAUGUAUAUUUUUCUAAACUCUCUAAAUUGUAAUACUUUAAAAAUGUACACAAUGGAUUUCAUGUAUAUUCUUUUUUUUUUUUUUUGAGACAGAGUUUCACUCUUGUUGCCCAGGGUGGAGUGCAAUGGCAUGAUCUUGGCACACUGCAACCUCCGCCUCCUGGGUUCAGGUGAUUCUCCAGCCUCAGCCUCCUAAGUAGCUGGGAUUACAGGCGCAUGCCACUACACAUGGCUAAUUUUGUAUUUUUAGUAGAGACAGGGUUUUGCCAUGUUGGUCAGGCUGGUGUUGAACUCCUGACCUCGUGAUCCACCCACCUUCGCCUCCCAAAGUGCUGAGAUUACAGGCGUGAGCCACCGCGCCAGGUCAUAUGUUCUUACCUAAUGCCCACAACAGCCCUGGGAGGUGGGCACAAGUCUCUUUUUUUUUUUUUUUUUUUUGAGACAGAGUCUUGCUCUGUUGCCCAGGCUGGAGUGCAGUGGCGCAAUCUCGGCUGACUGCAACCUCUACCUCCCGGGUUCAAGCAAUUCUCUUGCCUCAGCCUCCUGAGUAGCUGGGACUACAGGCACAUGCCAUCAUGCCCAGCUAAUUUUUAUUUUAGUAGAGAUGAGGUUUCACCAUGUUGGCCAGGAUGGUCUCAAUCUCCUGACCUCAUGAUCCACCUGCCUCAGCCUCCCAAAGUGCUGGGAUUACAGGCAUGAGCCACCGUACCCGGACUUUUUUUUUUUUUUUUGAGAUGGAGUUUCGCUCUGUCACCCAGGCUGCAGUGAAAUGGCAUGAUCUGGGCUCACUGAAAUCUCUGCCUCCCGGGUUCAAGUAAUUCUUCUGCCUCAGCCUCUUGAGUAGCUGGGAUUAUCUUGAGUAGCUAGGAUUAUAGGCAUGCACCACCAAGCCUGGCUAAUUUUUUUAUUUUUAGUAGAGACAGGGUCAUGUUGGUCAGGCUGGUCUCGAACUGCUGAUCUCGUGAUCCACCCACCUUGGCCUCCCAAAGUGCUGGGAUUACAGGCAUGAGCCGCUGGACGAGGAGCCACAAGAGACUUGUGGCGCCCAGCCACAAGUCUCAUUUUUACAGGGCUUGGAAAAGACCUGCCCCAAGGCACGCAGCUAGCAAGAGGUGCAGAGCUGAAGUUGAAUGUGUCUUCUGAAUUUGAUUCCAAGCUUCAGGCACGUUCUUUUUUUUGAGACGGAGUCUCGCUCUGUCGCCCAGGCUGGAGUGCAGUGGUUCAAUCUUGGCUCACUGCAAGCUCUGCCUCCCGGGUUCACGCCAUUCUGCCUCAGCCUCCUGAGUAGCUGGGACUACAGGCGCCCG
rnacentral:lncRNA from 10 species